UUGAGCGCUACAGGCUUUGGCGUGCAACCUCAUCCCCACGAUAUUUUUCCUAGAGCGUCUGCAGCCUCCGGCCUCUUUAGCUUCUCCAUCAAAUCCCUGGCCGGUUGAUUUUCCUUGCUCAUAUUCGUCUUCUUUCUUUUAGCCUUUCCCCUUCCAUGUCUAUUUCAAUCCCCAGUCAAUAUUAUACGGCUCCUCCGCUUCUUAUUCUUCCUGUUCCCAAUCUCCCUUCACCUGUCGCUUCGGCCUGCUUCCAUGGCUGGAUGAAACUACAAGGUGUCAAAUCCAACAGGGAUUUAAGUGGCGGCAAGGAUCCACAGUGGUGUUGGACUGGUUGCAACGGUAGCCGAUUCACUGGGCAUUGAUGCCGCUUCUAAAUACCUCGAUUGGUUAUAUCAUUGUCAGUGUCGUCGACAUUGCGGACCAAUCGGCGUCCUUGACGGCGCUAGGUAGUGUGCAAGCGCCGGUACAGAUCGAUGGGCGCCCUCUACCGGCACAACUGUAGUAUGCAUUGUCCAUGGCGCCGGGCAACAUGCAAGCUCUGCUGCAGAUCGAUAGUUCAUAGUUGAAGGCUUGAAGCAGCAGGAAAGGCAACCUGAAGUGCUCCUUUUUUACUUUCGGCUGUCCACUUCCUUGAGUUAUUUGUUGCUCCUCCUCUCCCCCAAUUAAUCAUGCUUAGAACAUUUACAACUUAAUUUCAAAUCUUGCAAUCAUCUAUUUUAUUGUUAUUAUGUAAAUUCUGGGGAGGCUAAUUAAUUUCGAUUACUGAUGCUAUCGAGUACUGUCAGUGGCAAAUAUGUUUUAUGUCCUUGAAAAAAAUGUGAUGAUCGUUGUUCAGGCCCUUAAAAAAAUUGUUUUCCAUUUUUUGGAUUAGGCUCUGUCCAUUCAUUGAUUUUUUUAUUUUUUGUUUGCAGGUCCCCGCGCCUUCAUGUUAUGGUGUGCCACAGCCACACGAUUCCUCAAGUGCUUCUUCAUGGAGUCUAUAGGCGAAGAACUGGAGGAAGGUGAACAACAGAGGUUGAAGGAUGGACUGCGACUGGCAUUUAUUAGGCUGGAUUAGAUAUGCUAAAUUGUUUGAUUACCAUGGUCACCAAGGCACUUAGAUGUAUAUGUGCUUGGCCACAGAAGUCACAUUCAGUUUUCCUCUGUUUCAAUAAGCCGCCAUGAAACUGUUCGCUGAUUGUCCCUACAGUUGCUUGCUAAUGUGAUCCAUGAUGUUGCUACUUUGCAACAUUACAUAUUAUUGGCUCCUUUUUCCUACCACACUAACAGGUUAAUACAAUUAUUUGAUUGA